CAGGGAAUUUUGCGCAAUGGGCGAAAGCCUGACGCAGCAACGCCGCGUGGGGGAUGAAGGCCUUCGGGUUGUAAACCCCUUUCUAGGAGGAACGAAAUUGACGGUACCUUCAGAAGAAGCCCCGGCCAACUACGUGCCAGCAGCCGCGGUAAUACGUAGGGGGCGGAGCGUUGUCCGGAAUCAUUGGGCGUAAAGAGCUCGUAGGCGGCUGAGUAAGUCGGCGGUGAAAUUCCAAGGCUCAACCUUGGCACUGCCGUCGAUACUGCUCUGGCUAGAGUCCGGUAGAGGAGAACGGAAUUCCCGGUGUAGCGGUGGAAUGCGCAGAUAUCGGGAGGAACACCUGUAGCGAAGGCGGUUCUCUGGGCCGGAACUGACGCUGAGGAGCGGAAAGCGUGGGGGAGCAAACAGGAUUAGAUACCCUGGUAGUCCACGCCGUAAACGUUGGGCACUAGGUGUGGCGA
rnacentral:rRNA from 1 species